rnacentral:rRNA from 1 species
GAUGAACGCUAGCGGCAGGCCUAAUACAUGCAAGUCGAGCGAGAAGGUAGCAAUACUGGAAAGCGGCGCACGGGUGCGUAACGCGUAUACAACGUACCUUUAACUGGGGGAUAGGGGCUGGAAACGGCCUAUAAUACCCCAUAGCAAUACAGGAUCGCAUGAUUUUGUAUUUAAAGCUCCGGCGGUUCAAGAUCGGUGUGCGUCUGAUUAGUUUGUUGGUGAGGUAACGGCUACCCAAGGCGACGAUCAGUAGGGGGUGUGAGAGCAUGACCCCCCACACGGGUACUGAGACACGGACCCGACUCCUACGGGAGGCAGCAGUAAGGAAUAUUGGACAAUGGACGCAAGUCUGAUCCAGCCAUGCCGCGUGAAGGAUGACUGCCCUAUGGGUUGUAAACUUCUUUUGGACGGGAAUAAACCUAAGUUCGUGAACUUAGCUGAAGGUACCGUCAGAAUAAGCACCGGCUAACUCCGUGCCAGCCGCCGCCGUAAGAC